rfam:Ciona savignyi cont_33229, whole genome shotgun sequence.
GCUUAUCACCAUUCCAGAUUGAAUAUACCCGAUCUCGUCUGGUCUCGGAAGUCAAGCAAUCUCUGGCUUGGUUAGUACUUGGAUGGGUGACCGCUUGGGAAUACCAAGUGUGAUAAGCA